rnacentral:lncRNA from 1 species
UCCACUUAAUAGCAUCCCACCUUACAUCAAACAGGCCCUUCUUGUCCAACAAAUCCACAACCAAAUUCCCAGCAUACGGACUAUGCUCAUCAUUCAUCUGGAACCCGAAUCAUCAGAAAACUUCACUGUCAGGCCCGGGAUCCCAUAUGAAAGUUGAGUACCUCCUCUAUGUCUUCUUGUUAUACCCGGAUGCCAGUAUCUUCAAGCAACUUCUCGACACUCGCAUACGAGAUUAGAUAUGAUUUCACCAAGGAUUUUCACCUUGGAGUCAAAGAGGGGACUUCAAGGUAUGAGAUGAAUUUUGAGCGUUUUCCCAUUAUUUGUUGUUGAUGAUGGAGAGUGGUUCUUGUCAUGGCGGUAGUGCUUAUUGUUGGGGCCAAAAUCAUUUCACGCACAAUAAUAUAGCCAUGAUGUUGAUGGAUAAAAAGGACCUUUACUCAACAAUCUGUGUUUGAUUCUCACAAUAAUGAAGAAAUUGAAGCAGCAUAGAAGCCAAGUUUUUUGGAAUCGAAAUUUGGGUUAAAAGAUUGGGGAUAAAUUGAACUCAGGGCGAUAUUAUUGUGGAUUAAAG